rnacentral:tRNA from 1 species
GAGGGUAUAGCUCAAGCGGUAGAGCGCAUGCUUAGCAUGCAUGAGGUCUUGAGUUUAAUCCCCAGUACCUCCU